GACGAACGCUGGCGGCGUGCCUAAUACAUGCAAGUUGAGCGCUGAAGGUUGGUACUUGUACCAACUGGAUGAGCAGCGAACGGGUGAGUAACGCGUGGGGAAUCUGCCUUUGAGCGGGGGACAACAUUUGGAAACGAAUGCUAAUACCGCAUAAAAACUUUAAACACAAGUUUUAAGUUUGAAAGAUGCAAUUGCAUCACUCAAAGAUGAUCCCGCGUUGUAUUAGCUAGUUGGUGAGGUAAAGGCUCACCAAGGCGAUGAUACAUAGCCGACCUGAGAGGAGGACGGGCGAAACGGGGACUGAGACACGGGCAAGACUCAUAGGGGAGGCAGAAGUGGGGAAUUUUGGACAAUGGGGGAAAGCAUGACCCAGAAAUGGCGAGUGUGUGAAGAAGGCCUUGGGGUUGUAAAGCAGGUUGGUCGGGAAAGAAAUCCUGGGCGCUAAGACAGUCGGGGGAUGACGGUACCGGAAGAAUAAGCACCGGCUAACUACGUG
rnacentral:rRNA from 1 species